rnacentral:rRNA from 1 species
UACGUAGGGCGCAAGCGUUGUCCGGAAUUAUUGGGCGUAAAGAGCUCGUAGGCGGCGCGGUAAGUCGGGUGUGAAAUCUUGGAGCUUAACUCCGAAACUGCAUUCGAUACUGCCGUGCUUGAGGACUGGAGAGGAGACUGGAAUUUACGGUGUAGCGGUGAAAUGCGUAGAUAUCGUAAGGAAGACCAGUGGCGAAGGCGGGUCUCUGGACAGUUCCUGACGCUGAGGCACGAAGGCCAGGGGAGCAAACGGG